CCUUUCCGGUUGAUCCUGCCGGCGGUCACUGCUAUCAGGUUCCGACUAAGCCAUGCAAGUCAUGGGGCCGUAAGMCCGGGCGAACAGCUCAGUAACACGUGGAUAAUUUACCCUCAGGCGGGGCAUAACCUCGGGAAACUGAGGCUAAUUCCCCAUAGUCAUUACAAACUGGAAUGGUUGUAAUGAUGAAAGCUUUUGCACCUGAGGAUAAGUCUGCGGCCUAUCAGGUAGUAGGCGGUGUAAAGGACCACCUAGCCUAAGACGGGUACGGGCCCUGAAAGGGGAGCCCGGAGAUGGACUCUGAGACAACAGUCCAGGCCCUACGGGGSGCASAGGCCGSGAAAAACUGUGCAAUGCGCGAAAGAACAACGGGGAGCCUGAGUGCCUUGACUUUUUGUCAAGGCUUUUC
rnacentral:rRNA from 1 species